AUUGAACGCUGGCGGCAGGCUUAACACAUGCAAGUCGAGCGAGCGGCGGACGGGUGAGUAAUGUCUGGGAAACUGCCUGAUGGAGGGGGAUAACUACUGGACACUGUAGCUAAUACCGCAUACCAUCAGAUGUGCCCAGAUGGGAUUAGCUAGUAGGUGGGGUAAUGGCUCACCUAGGCGACGAUCCCUAGCUGGUCUGAGAGGAUGACCAGCCACACGGGAACGGAGACACGGUCAAGACUCCUACGGGAGGCAGCAGUGGGGAAUAUUGCACAAGGGGCGCAAGCCUGAUGCAGCCAUGACGCGUGUGUGAAGAAGGCCUUCGGGUUGUAAAGCACUUGCAGCGAGGAGGCGUUACUCGCAGAAGAAGCACCGGCUAACUCCGUGCCAGCCGCCGCGGUAAUUC
rnacentral:rRNA from 1 species